rnacentral:rRNA from 1 species
GUCUUUUUGAAUUUAAUAUAAAGUUUAACCUGCCCAUUGAACAUUUUAAAAGGCUGCGGUAUUUUGACCGUACAAAGGUAGCAUAGUCAUUAGUUUCUUAAUUGGGAACUUGUAUGAAUGGUUGAAUGAAAAAUUUACUUUUUUUUAAAGAAUAAAGAACUUUACUUUUUAAUUAAAAGGUUAAGAUAUAUUUAAAAGACGAGAAGACCCUAUAGAGUUUUAUAGUUUAUUUUUUAUUAUUAGAGAAGAUUAUUUAUAUUAUUAUGAUAUAAAUUAUUUUAUUGGGGUGAUAGUAAAAUUUAAUUAACUUUUAUUAAUAUAUUACAUUAAUAUAUGGUUUACUGAUCCAAUAGUGUUGAUUAAAAAAUUAAAUUACCUUAGGGAUAACAGCGUAAUUUUUUUUUUAAGUUCAUAUUAAUAAAAAAUUUUGCGACCUCGAUGUUGGAUUAAGAUUUAAUUUUAGGUGCAGCAGUUUAAAAUUUAAGUCUGUUCGACUUUUAAAUUCUU